CGUGAUGACUCAGAAGCUUUAUAACCUAUUCUGCACAUGACCUUUUAAGAAAAAAGAUCUUUAUAUUUGUUAUUGAACUUAGCGAGAUUGCUAUCAACAUUUAUUGACCCGCUUGUUAAGUUUCCAGUCCAUGCGGGAUGAGUAUUAGGGUCUCUAUCAAGUUUUAUCUUAUCACCUUCUUUUCCAUAAGUAGAGCGAGUUUCAAACUCUUCACCAUUUGUCAUAGUUAUAAUAAUUUUAUGAUAAUCAAUACUUUCCAUUAUUGCUCAUUAAUCUUU